GGAGGGUGCAAGCGUUAUCCGGAUUCACUGGGUUUAAAGGGUGCGUAGGCGGGUCAGUAAGUCCGUGGUGAAAUCUCCAAGCUUAACUUGGAAACUGCCGUGGAUACUAUUGGUCUUGAAUGUUGUGGAGGUUAGCGGAAUAUGUCAUGUAGCGGUGAAAUGCUUAGAUAUGACAUAGAACACCAAUUGCGAAGGCAGCUGGCUACACAAAUAUUGACGCUGAGGCACGAAAGCGUGGGGAUCAAACAGGAUUAGAUACCCUGGUAGUCCACGCCCUAAACGAUGAUUACUCGACAUUUGCGAUAUACAGUAAGUGUCUGAGCGAAAGCAUUAAGUAAUCCACCUGGGAAGUACGACCGCAAGGUUGAA
rnacentral:rRNA from 1 species